GCGGUAAUACGUAGGGUGCGAGCGUUGUCCGGAAUUAUUGGGCGUAAAGGGCUCGUAGGCGGUUUGUCGCGUCGGGAGUGAAGACGCCGUGCUUAACACGGCGCUUGCCUCCGAUACGGGCAGACUAGAGGUAUUCAGGGGAGAACGGAAUUCCUGGUGUAGCGGUGAAAUGCGCAGAUAUCAGGAGGAACACCGGUGGCGAAGGCGGUUCUCUGGGAAUGACCUGACGCUGAGGAGCGAAAGUGUGGGGAGCGAACAGGAUUAGAUACCCUGGUAGUCCACACCGUAAACGUUGGGCGCUAGGUGUGGGGUCCAUUCCACGGAUUCCGUGCCGCGGCUAACGCAUUAAGCGCCCCGCCUGGGGAGUACGGCCGCAAGGCUAAAACUCAAAGGAAUUGACGGGGGCCCGCACAAGCGGCGGAGCAUGCGGAUUAAUUCGAUGCAACGCGAAGAACCUUACCUGGGUUUGACAUACACCCUGCCGCCUCAGAGAUGGGGCUUCUUUUGGGGGUGUACAGGUGGCGCAUGGCUGUCGUCAGCUCGUGUCGUGAGACGUUGGGUUAAGUCCCGCAACGAGCGCAACCCUCGUUCUAUGUUGCCAGCACGUAAUGGUGGGGACUCAUAGGAGACUGCCGGGGUCAACUCGGAGGAAGGUGGGGAUGACGUCAAGUCAUCAUGCCCCUUAUGUCCAGGGCUUCACGCAUGCUACAAUGGCCGGUACAAAGGGCUGCGAUCCCGUAAGGGGGAGCGAAUCCCAAGAAGCCGGUCUCAGUUCGGAUUGGGGUCUGCAACUCGACCCCAUGAAGUCGGAGUCGCUAGUAAUCGCAGAUCAGCAACGCUGCGGUGAAUACGUUCCCGGGCCUUGUACACACCGCCCGUCACGUCACGAAAGUCGGCAACACCCGAAGCCGGUGGCCCAACCCUUGUGGAGGGAGCCGUCGAAGGUGGGGCUGGA
rnacentral:rRNA from 1 species